GGAGAGAACGAGCUUAGGAGAAAGAAAGGCGAUAACAGAGGUACCAGAGAUGAAGACAGCCUACAGGAGAGACGGACAGAUGGAGAGAGACAAAGAGAAGCCUUGAGAGGGAGCGUCAGAAAGUCGGGCAGGAGACUGACAGAGAUGGAGAGCCAGAGCCAGACACUGACUCACGCUCAGGAGGGCCCCCAAGUGCAAACACUUCCCCGAGACACGCGUGAGCUCCUCACCAGGAGGGACUUCGUGCGUGGACACCCACGCGCCAUGCACACCUGCGAGAGAAAGCCUGAGAGAUAAUCUGCCGCCCCUUUCCCCAACCCUUAUCGAAAUUAGGGGCGGGGGUGGGUGUGUGGGCUGUGGAGGGUGAGAGAGGAGGGGGUUGCUUUCUUGCUCAGCUCUAUCCUCUCUGGUCGCAGACUCUGGGGUUUCCUCCUGUGUCCCCUGAGUCAUUUUUUCCAGCGACUGAUAAUUGGGAAGUCCCUCCUGGUGUCUAACCUCAAUCCCUCUUGCUGCUCCUUUCUACUCGCCAAACCUUUUGAAUUCCGUUCAAGGACUAUGAAAAGUGAACCCUUUUACAGCCCUUCAGAGAAUUGUCAACUUUCAGAACCUUAGAACGUCUGAGCAGGAAGGACUCUUAGAGAUCAUCUGGUCAUUUGAUUCUAGUUUUACAAAGGCUGCUGCCCUGUAGUGGUUAGACGUGUGUGCUGGCUCUGGAGUCAGACUCUCUGCCCUCAAAUCAUGGUCAUGCCACUUACUAGCCCUUGACUUUGGACAAAUUGCUUAACCUAUUUGUGCUGCAAUUUUUUCACUUGUAAGCAAGAGAUUAUGAUGAAUACUUCAUGGUAAAUUCUGUGGGGAUUACAUGAAAUAAUAUAUUUACAGGAGUUAGGACAGCACUGGGUACAAGAUAAGAGUACCCCCUGCCCCCAUCUUUGUACAAUUGAUAAAACCUGAGGCCCAGAAAGGUCUAGGGUCCUGCUCAAGUUCACAGAGCUAAUCAUCAGAGAGCCUUAGCUGCACCCCGCUGUCUACACCCCCAGGCUGAUGUGCACUGUUGGUCCUCCUGUUCACCCCACCCGUCAGGGCCCCUGCCUCAGUCGCCUGGACUUGGCUCAGUUUAGGCUGCUGUGAUUUUUGUGGAAGGAGGACGGUGGGAAGCACACGUUCCAGAUUAGGAGGCAGGAUUCCUGGGCCCUGGGAGUGUGUUGAAGGUGAGGGCAUCCGUCUGUCCACCGUGACUCUGGUUCUUUCUGCCCUCGUCUGAAUCUCUCUGGACUUCACUUUGUUCUCUCCAACUGUGGCCUUGAGGGCAGGGAAGGGACAGCAUGCAGCCAGAGUAGCGUCACUGUCUACAUGACUAUCACAUUCCAUCCCCAGUGCCAGCACAGUGCCCACCCUGCGCUUGUGGGCUCCCUCCACCCCGGCCAAGUAGACAAUAAAUAUCUUAUGAAUAAUAAAUGUCUAAUUCAUUUUUCUUCCUAAGCUUUGGGCCAGAGGGAGGGGUGCAGAUCUCUGGGUCUCCACCCCUUCUGGCCUGGAGGGGGUGGGUGUCUCUGGAUUCCCAGUCUCACUGACACCUUCUGUCCUCAACAGGGAAGCCAGAAAGGAAACACAGAGAACCAGCGUCACCUGGUGGCCACAAGUGCUUUAAGUUUGCUCAUGCGCACGCGCAGGGGCACUAGCCCGUUGGUCCUGCUGGAGGAAGGGAAUGUGAGGAAGAUUGGCCCUGAACUAACAUCUGUUGCUGAUCUUCCUCUUUUUGCUUGAGGAAGAUUGUUCCUGAGCUAACAUCUAUGCCAGUCUUCCUCUACUUUGUAUGUGGGAUGCUGCCACAGCAUGGCUUGAUAAGAGGUGUGUCAGUCUGUGGUGCCCUGGAUCGGAACCCCAAAACCCUGGGUCACUGAAGCAGACAGCAUGAACUUAACCACUAUGCCACCAGGCUGGGCCCUAACCCCAGUUUCUUUCAGCCCCAACUCUGUGUCAGACUUCUGGAUCUCUAGUCUCUGCCUUUUUUGGAGCUAGAUUAACCUGAAAAAAACCUGAAAACUCCUUGUUCCAUUUCUGAACCCACAGUGAACUCCCACCCCGCACUUCACAGUUGAAAACCCAGGAGGCCCCUAGUCCCUCCUCCUUCCUCUUUAACAGUCCUCAUCUCACCUUCCCUCCCCCUUUCGUCUGCAAGAUUGGGAAGUGGGUACAGAGGGGGGAAGUGAGCAAAGAAGAUGCAACUCAGGAGGACCCCUUGGGGAUGCUGGGUUCUGGUCUGACCUUUCUGUUUGAACUUCUUGCCACCCAGUGGCUAGAGGGAGGGGGUCACAGAGUCACUGGCUGCUCUUGGGAUCGUGUAGUUGAACUGAAUUCUGGAAAUAAAGAGACUCCUUCCCGCCA